GGGUUUGUUCAAAGUUUCCACAAAGGGCUGUCUGAAGGGCUCAGAUGCAGUUUGAAACAGCCAACCUGUGCAAACAGAGAAAAAUAUACAAUACUUGUUGUGGCAAAAGGCUUCGUCGCCUUUUUUCAACGGCGAAGCGCGGGGGAGAAACAGAAUGUCGAUACGUGGAGCAACACUGCCACCUGCAGAUCACAGAAAUCAAAACCCCACAGGACCAGAAGAAAAUCCAUCCAUUCUGUUGGGUUUUCGCGGAGAGGACUGGACAGCUUGGAUGCGAAAGUUGAGGGGGAUGCCCUUGAGAACCAGAGAAAGGAAGGAACCCUCUCGAAGGAGCCCUGCAAGACCACCCAUGGACCGCGGGCUCCUCUCCAGCGACCCGCGGAACCAAGGCUACACGGGUGGGGAUCCGUUCCUCUCAGAGGCCCUGUUCCUACAGACACACUGAGAAGGUGUCCUGAGCACACGCCAUGACCCUCUUGGAUCUCUGGGAGAACGUGGCCACUGUAAUACACCUGAGAGGUUGAAAGCCCUGUCUUUAAUAGGAUGGUGAGUCAGGACACAGCAGUGUAAGCCCGUCAUUGGAGAACAUGCCAAAGAAUAUCCAGAAGAGAUCCCUA
ensembl:lncRNA